UGGGGAAUAUUGCACAAUGGGCGCAAGCCUGAUGCAGCCAUGCCGCGUGUGUGAAGAAGGCCUUCGGGUUGUAAAGCACUUUCAGCGGGGAGGAAGGCGGUGAGGUUAAUAACCUCAUCGAUUGACGUUACCCGCAGAAGAAGCACCGGCUAACUCCGUGCCAGCAGCCGCGGUAAUACGGAGGGUGCAAGCGUUAAUCGGAAUUACUGGGCGUAAAGCGCACGCAGGCGGUCUGUCAAGUCGGAUGUGAAAUCCCCGGGCUCAACCUGGGAACUGCAUUCGAAACUGGCAGGCUAGAGUAUUGUAGAGGGGGGUAGAAUUCCAGGUGUAGCGGUGAAAUGCGUAGAGAUCUGGAGGAAUACCGGUGGCGAAGGCGGCCCCCUGGACGAAGACUGACGCUCAGGUGCGAAAGCGUGGGGAGCAAACAGG
rnacentral:rRNA from 1 species